AGGGGUUUAGCUCAGCGGUAGAGCGCCCUGCUUAGCAUGCAUGAGGUCCUGGGUUCAAUCCCCAGUACCUCCA
rnacentral:tRNA from 1 species